CAGCAGCCGCGGUAAUACGAAGGGUGCAAGCGUUAAUCGGAAUUACUGGGCGUAAAGCGUGCGUAGGCGGUUUGUUAAGUCUGCUGUGAAAUCCCCGGGCUCAACCUGGGAAUGGCAGUGGAUACUGGCAAGCUAGAGUGUGUCAGAGGAUGGUGGAAUUCCCGGUGUAGCGGUGAAAUGCGUAGAGAUCGGGAGGAACACCAGUGGCGAAGGCGGCCAUCUGGGACAACACUGACGCUGAGGCACGAAAGCGUGGGGAGCAAACAGGAUUAGAUACCCCCGUAGUCCCUGUCUCUUAUAC
rnacentral:rRNA from 1 species